AACGGCAUGGUCGUUGGAACUUUGUACAGGGAGAAAUUCGGUUUGUAGUGCACAGGGGUCAGAGUGGUCAUACCCUAAAACAGGGGAGACUUUAACUAAUAAACUGUACUAUUUGGCUUAACCAAAAAUUCUGAAAAUUUUAUGGAAGAAAUUAAAAUAAGUCUAGUUUCAGGGAAAAUUAACAAAACUUAAUUCGUAGUUUCGUAGCUCUAGAUAUAAAUAAUUUAGUGACUGUUGCUCAG
rnacentral:lncRNA from 1 species